GGCCGCGGGAAUUCGAUUCAGGCCUAACACAUGCAAGUCGAAAGAAGCACCUUCGGGUGCUUAGUGGCGAACGGGUGAGUAACGCGUGAGGAACCUGCCUUUCAGUGGGGGACAACAGUUGGAAACGACUGCUAAUACCGCAUAAUGCUAUCGGACCGCAUGAUCUGAUAGCCAAAGAUUUAUUGCUGAAAGAUGGCCUCGCGUCUGAUUAGCUAGUUGGUGGGGUAACGGCCCACCAAGGCGACGAUCAGUAGCCGGUCUGAGAGGAUGAACGGCCACAUUGGGACUGAGAUACGGCCCAGACUCCUACGGGAGGCAGCAGUGGGGAAUAUU
rnacentral:rRNA from 1 species